UCCUCUUUGAUCUGGAACGUGAGCGUGACAUUUUUUCUGAGAUUGCCUCAGACUGCCAGCUACUCUUCACACGGACUUAAUGAAGAUCUGCUCAGUCAGUGCAACACAGUGCUGAAGACAGACCAGAGGAGGAAGACCAUAUUCAAGGAAAGGUUCAGGCUCCAGUGAGGAUGGGCCAAACCUGGAUGAAAAUCCAAAAAGGAAUUUUCAGUUGCUGUUGCUUAUUGUUGGUGUGAGUGGGCAAUUCACACUAACUCACACGAAGUGUGUUGCUGAGCUCUUUUUUUUUUUAGUAAAGGUUGUAUUUAAUUUUUUGGUAUCAAAUGUUUUUAUGCUGUAUUUUUAUUUCAUUCCAGAUUAAAAGCCUGGAAAAUGU